rnacentral:rRNA from 1 species
GACGAACGCUGGCGGCGUGCUUAACACAUGCAAGUCGAACGGAAAGGCCCUGCUUUUGUGGGGUGCUCGAGUGGCGAACGGGUGAGUAACACGUGAGUAACCUGCCCUUGACUUUGGGAUAACUUCAGGAAACUGGGGCUCAUACCGGAUAGGAGCUCCUGCUGCACGGUGGGGGUUGGAAAGUUUCGGCGGUUGGGGAUGGACUCGCGGCUUAUCAGCUUGUUGGUGGGGUAGUGGCUUACCAAGGCUUUGACGGGUAGCCGGCCUGAGAGGGUGACCGGCCACAUGGGGACUGAGAGACGGACCAGACUCCUACGGGAGGCAGCAGUGGGGAAUAUUGCACAAUGGGCGGAAGCCUGAUGCAGCAACGCCGCGUGCGGGAUGACGGCCUUCGGGUUGUAAACCGCUUUCGCCUGUGACGAAGCGGGAGUGACGGUAAUGGGUAAAGAAGCACCGGCUAACUACGUG